rnacentral:rRNA from 1 species
GAUCAUGGCUCAGGAUGAACGCUAGCUACAGGCUUAACACAUGCAAGUCGAGGGGCAGCAUCAUCAAAGCUUGCUUUGAUGGAUGGCGACCGGCGCACGGGUGAGUAACACGUAUCCAACCUGCCGACAACACUGGGAUAGCCUUUCGAGAGAAGAUAAUACGGAUGGUAUAGUUUUCCCGUCCACUGGGGUGGACGUAUUAAAGAAAUUUACGGUUUGUUCGAUGGGGAGUGCGUUCCAUUAGG